CAUUGUCUCAUUGUCACCCUGUCACCACCCCAGGUGUCACUGGGUUUGACCCCAAAGCCGUGGCUGAGCGCUAAGGAACGUCACCGUGUCACAUUGUCACCGUGUGUGUCACCCUGACACCCUGUCACACUGUCACCUCACAGGUCACAUUGUCACAGUGUCACCCUGACACUGCCCCUCAUGUCACCAAGUUUGACCCCAAAGCCGUGGCUGAGCGCUAAGGACAUGUGUCACCGUGUCCCAUUGUCACCAUGUCACAUUGUCACUGUGUCACGUUGUCACUGUGUCACAUUGUCACUGUGUCACCCUGUCACCAUGUCACCCUGUCACCGUGUCACCCUGUCACCGUGUCACAUUGUCACCGUGUCACCUCACGUGUCACAUUGUCACUGCAUCACCUCAGGGGUCACCAUGUCACAUUGUCACUGUGUCACGUUGUCACCGUGUCACGUUGUCACCCUGUCACAUUGUCACCGUGUCACAUUGUCACCGUGUCAUAUUGUCACCGUGUCACGUUGUCACCGUGUCACGUUGUCACCCUGUCACGUUGUCACCGUGUCACCCUCCCCUUGCUGUCACUGUCACCAACCCAGCGAGGUCACAACACCCGGCAGAUGCUGGGGACACCCAAAAUCCAACAGGAACACGCAAAAUCCAAAAAAAACACCCAAAAUUCCAAUGGGAACACCCCAAAUACAACAGGAACACCCAAAAUCCAACAGGAACACCCAAAAUCCAACAGCAACACCCAAAAUUCCCAUGGGAACACCCAAAAUCCAACAGGAACACCCCAAAUCCAACAAAAAACACCCCAAAUCCAACAAAAAACACCCCAAAUCCAACGGGAACACCCAAAAUCCCAACGGGAACACCCAAAUUCCAACAGGAACACCCAAAAUCCCAACAGCAACACCCAAAAUUCCCAUGGGAACACCCAAAAUCACAACAGGAACACCCAAAAUUCCCAUGGGAACACCCAAAAUCACAACAGGAACACCCAAAAUCCAACGGGAACACCCCAAAUCCCAACGGGAACACCCAAAAUCCAACGGGAACACCCCAAACCCCCUCAGGAACACCCGAAAUUCCCGGAAUUCCCGAAUUUCCCGGAAUUCCCGAGGAUACAGGACGAUGCCGGCCAGCAGCCAGUAGUCGUGGCGCUGGUGCCACCGCGCUGUCACCGUCCCCAGCCCCGGGGACACCCCAGACCCCCCCAGGAACACCCCAAACCCCCCUGGGAACACCCGAAAUUCCCGAAUUUCCCGGAAUUCCCGUUAUUCCGGUUGUUAUUCCCGAGGAUAC
rnacentral:lncRNA from 1 species